UAAGGAAUAUUGGUCAAUGGACGCAAGUCUGAACCAGCCAUGCCGCGUGAAGGAUGAAGGUCCUCUGGAUUGUAAACUUCUUUUAUCCGGGACGAAAACGGGAUUUUUAUCUCAAUUGACGGUACCAGAGGAAUAAGCACCGGCUAACUCCGUGCCAGCAGCCGCGGUAAUACGGAGGGUGCGAGCGUUAUCCGGAUUUACUGGGUUUAAAGGGUGCGUAGGUGGGCUUAUAAGUCAGUGGUGAAAUCUCCGAGCUUAACUUGGAAACUGCCGUUGAUACUAUAGGUCUUGAAUUAUCUGGAGGUAAGCGGAAUAUGUCAUGUAGCGGUGAAAUGCUUAGAUAUGACAUAGAACACCAAUUGCGAAGGCAGCUUACUACAUAUAAAUUGACGCUGAGGCACGAAAGCGUGGGGAUCAAACA
rnacentral:rRNA from 1 species